UAAGGUUACGAUAAUCGAAUC
rnacentral:piRNA from 1 species